rnacentral:rRNA from 1 species
CUUGAACGCUGGCGGCAGGCCUAACACAUGCAAGUCGAACGAGUGGCGGACGGGUGAGUAAUGUCUUGGAAACUGCCUGAUGUAGGGGGCUAACUACUGGAAACGGUAGCUACUACCGCAUACCAUCAGAUGUGCCCAGAUGGGAUUAGCUGGUUGGUGGGGUACCGGCUCACAAAGACGACGAUCCCUAGCUGGUCUGAGAGGAUGACCAGCCACACUGGAACUGAGAAACGGUCCAGACUCCUACGGGAGGCAGCAGUAGGGAAUAUUGCACAAUGGGCGCAAGCCUGAUGCAGCCAUGCCGCGUGUAUGAAGAAGGCCUUCGGAUUGUAAAGUACUGUCAGCGGGGAAGCGUUACCCGCAGAAAAAGCAACGGCUAACUCCGUGCCAGCAGCCGCGGUAAUAC